UGUGGUAAUUUGUUUAUUUUUAGCGGUAGAGGGGGCCAUAAGAACUGUUUAUGUGUAAAACAUUUAUUUGCCAUUUAAGGCAGAAUGUCUUUCAUAAUAGCCAACAUUUUGAACACCAUAGGCUAUAACCUAUAAUAGUAUUGUAGAAAAUUCCCCCAUCAUGUUCAGGGAGAACAACCGUGAUACAUCUUAGUAGGAAGGGAGACCCUAGCCUAAUAUGUCAAGAUCUUCAAAUUAUAAACCUGUGAAUUAAUAAGGAUAUUCAUUGACCAUUACAGGCAUAUAGGCCUAAAAAAAGCCCAUUAUUAAUAAAACAAAGGCAAGUAUUUGUAUUGCUGACAGUCACACCCUUAUAUUUUGUCAAAGAAGAGGUCUUAGUGCUGUGGUUUAUGAUGAGGUUUCGGAUAAAGUGUAGGUUUCCAUUGGAGGAUAAGACAGGUGGUUUUGGGGAUGCGCCUUUUUGACCUGACGUCACUGGUGGGGGUAUAAAAUCCCUUAGAUUUGUCCUCCAGUCAUUCACUGUGAAAAAGCCAUCGACAGGACUAAGCGGCUGAGAAAGAAACCGACAACAAAAUGGCUAAAAUGUUGACGGCUUACAUUGGAUUCAUUCUCCUUGCCUUGCCUUGUUCAUCACAGUUCCUAUGACCGAAAGCAACUUUGGACAUCAGAACAACGAUCCCUAACCUCGAUUUGGAUGAAGAUUUCUAUUUCAGCGAGUCGGCAGCUGUGGACGUACUGCACAUUUCGGACCCUAAUCCCCGGGACUCAAAAGGGGAAGUGACGGUGCAAGAGCGGGCUCCCUGACGAGAAUACGCAGGUGAGAAAAUAAACCGCCUCUACCCUCCAUUCUGUUGGCGAACGUACAAUCACUGAGAACAAACAGGUCAAGCUCCGUUCGAGACUAUUAAUGGGACCUGAAGAAAUGUAAUGUCUUGUGUUUUUCAGAGUCGUGGCUGAGCAAGGACAUGGAUAAUAUAUUUCUAGUUGGUUUUAUAUGCAUCGUAAAAACCGAACGGCAGCUUUGUGUAAGGUUAAGUUAUGGGGGAGGUGUGUGUCGCUUAACAACAGCUAGUGCGUGAUCUCUAAUUUAAGGAAGUCUCAAGGUUUUGCUCGCCUGAGUUAGAAUACCUCAUGAUGAGCUGCAGACCAUACCAUCCCUAGGAGGGGUGCGCCACUUGAGUGGGUUGAGUCACUAAAGUGAUCUUCCUGUGAUCUUCCUUGGGUUCGUGCCGUGGGGGAGAUCUUCGUGGACUAUAUGAUAUUCGCGGAUAUCCCUCUAGUGGUGUGGGGGCUGUGCUUUGGCAAAGUUGGUAGGGUUAUAUCCUUCCUGUUUGGCCCUGUCCGGGGGUGUCCUCGAAUGGGGCCACAGUUUCUCCUGACCCCUCCUGUCUCAGCCUCCAGUAUUUAUGCUGCAGUAGUUUAUGUGUCAGGGGGCUAGGGUCAGUUUGUUAUAUCUGGAGUACUUCUCCUGUCCUAUUUGGUGUCCUGUGUGAAUUCUCUAAUUCUCUCCUUCUCUCUUUCUUUCUCUCUCUCGGAGGACCUGAGCCCUAAGACCAUGCCCCAGGACUACCUGACAUGAUGACUCCUUGCUGUCCCCAGUCCACCUGGCCGUGCUGCUGCUCCAGUUUCAACUGUUCUGCCUUAUUAUUAUUCGACCAUGCUGGUCAUUUAUGAACAUUUGAACAUCUUGGCCAUGUUCUGUUAAAAUCUCCACCCGGCACAGCCAGAAGAGGACUGGCCACCCCACAUAUGCUCUCUCUAAUUCUCUCUUUCUUUCUCUCUCUCGGAGGACCUGAGCCCUAGGACCAUGCCCCAGGACUACCUGACAUGAUGACUCCUUGCUGUCCCCAGUCCAUCUGACCGUGCUGCUGCUCCAGUUUCAACUGUUCUGCCUUAUUAUUAUACGAUCAUGCUGGUCAUUUAUGAACAUUUGAACAUCUUGGCCAUGUUCUGUUACAAUCUCCACCCGGCACAGCCAGAAGAGGACUGGCCACCCCACAUAGUCUGGUUCCUCUCUAGGUUUCUUCCUAUGUUUUGGCCUUUCUAGGGAGUUUUUCCUAGCCACCGUGCUUCUACACCUGCAUUGCUUGCUGUUUGGGGUUUUAGGCUGGGUUUCUGUACAGCACUUUGAGAUAUCAGCUGAUGUACGAAGGGCUAUAUAAAUACAUUUGAUUUGAUUUGAUAUCAGCUAUGUUUGUUUAAAGGCAGUAAAUGAGGCUAAAUGAACUAUUUUGCUGCCAGACAAGGCUCUGCUGAUAGCCAGGUGUAGCAAUGGUAAGGGGUUGGGAAUGCUGUUGGGACUAUGGUUGCCCUAACAGUUUGUGAGCAUUUGUGAACAUUUUAUUGCAAUACAGAGUGGGAAAUUGACUGUGCGUUUGGACAAUUAAUAGACACUGCAAAGUCUACAAAGAGAGUGCACAAUUUUGCUGGUUAUGAGGUUGGGAGAUAGCGAACCUAUCUAGCUGGCUAGAUAAAGUCAAAUUCAUGAAAUUGAUUAGGUGGAUAAGAUUGCAGAGAAACAACAAAACAUUUUGGUUUUAUUUUUUGAUUAAGAAGGAAUCAAUAGGCUACAUAACUUAAUCAAAUGAAUUUACAACAUACCUCCUGCGAGUCCUUGCCUGGUCCAGUCAGUGUGCCCACUCCACAAAAUACCACUGACAGAUGUUUUCUAUAAAUAAUUACAAUAGAAAUGAAGUUUAGUGAUUAAUUUAACAUCUGAAAAAUAAUAACAAAUUGACAAAUCUGAGGGGGCACAUACCCUUGUGCCCCAUAUGGGCAUGAUGCCACUGUCCACGCUAGCCACUGGGAGGAUGCUCUUGUGCAUCCUCUGCUGAAGUAGGUCAUUAAUGGGAGGAGGACACUCAUUUGUUCACCUACAAUCAUUGACACUAUCCUAGACCCCUCGACUACUUAGUGGUUUACGAGUUACGGAGGAGAGGAGGACGGAGGAGUCAAGGAGAGAAUGGCAUAGCUGCGGGAAGAUGUUUUGAGUAGGGCGUGCUGACUGAAAAAAAAAAAUCACCUUUAUAAUAAAGUUACUACUUUUCCAAUAUUUCUCUAUUUUCUUUCUCUGCAUUGUUGGGAAUGGCCCGUAAGUUAGCAUUUCACUGUUAGUUUACACCUGUUGUUUACGAAGCAUGUGAUGAAUAAAAUUGGAUUUGAUUUCAACUCCAUCUCCACCACAGCACC
ensembl:lncRNA